GACGAACGCUGGCGGCGUGCUUAACACAUGCAAGUCGAACGGUGACGAGGAGCUUGCUCCUCCGAUCAGUGGCGAACGGGUGAGUAACACGUGAGUAACCUGCCCCAGACUCUGGGAUAACAGUUGGAACAGCUGCUAAUACCGGAUACGAGACGGAGAGGCAUCUCUACCGUCUGGAAAGUUUUUCGGUCUGGGAUGGACUCGCGGCCUAUCAGCUUGUUGGUGAGGUAAUGGCUCACCAAGGCGACGACGGGUAGCCGGCCUGAGAGGGCGACCGGCCACACUGGGACUGAGACACGGCCCAGACUCCUACGGGAGGCAGCAGUGGGGAAUAUUGCACAAUGGGCGAAAGCCUGAUGCAGCGACGCCGCGUGAGGGAUGAC
rnacentral:rRNA from 1 species